rnacentral:rRNA from 1 species
GGAAUACCGGUGGCGAAGGCGGCCCCCUGGACGAAGACUGACGCUCAGGUGCGAAAGCGUGGGGAGCAAACAGGAUUAGAUACCCUGGUAGUCCACGCCGUAAACGAUGUCGACUUGGAGGUUGUGCCCUUGAGGCGUGGCUUCCGGAGCUAACGCGUUAAGUCGACCGCCUGGGGAGUACGGCCGCAAGGUUAAAACUCAAAUGAAUUGACGGGGGCCCGCACAAGCGGUGGAGCAUGUGGUUUAAUUCGAUGCAACGCGAAGAACCUUACCUGGUCUUGACAUCCACGGAAGUUUUCAGAGAUGAGAAUGUGCCUUCGGGAACCGUGAGACAGGUGCUGCAUGGCUGUCGUCAGCUCGUGUUGUGAAAUGUUGGGUUAAGUCCCGCAACGAGCGCAACCCUUAUCCUUUGUUGCCAGCGGUCCGGCCGGGAACUCAAAGGAGACUGCCAGUGAUAAACUGGAGGAAGGUGGGGAUGACGUCAAGUCAUC